AACGAACGCUGGCGGCAUGCCUAACACAUGCAAGUCGAACGAGACCUUCGGGUCUAGUGGCGCACGGGUGCGUGACGCGUGGGAACCUGCCCUUAGGUUCGGAAUAACUCAGAGAAAUUUGAGCUAAUACCGGAUAAUGUCUUCGGACCAAAGAUUUAUCGCCUUUGGAUGGGCCCGCGUAGGAUUAGCUUGUUGGUGGGGUAAUGGCCUACCAAGGCGACGAUCCUUAGCUGGUCUGAGAGGAUGAUCAGCCACACUGGGACUGAGACACGGCCCAGACUCCUACGGGAGGCAGCAGUGGGGAAUAUUGGACAAUGGGCGAAAGCCUGAUCCAGCAAUGCCGCGUGAGUGAUGAAGGCCUUAGGGUUGUAAGCUCUUUUACCAGGGAUGAUAAUGACAGUACCUGGAGAAUAAGCUCCGGCUAACUCCGUGCCAGCCGCCGCCGUAACAC
rnacentral:rRNA from 1 species